UACGUAGGGUCCGAGCGUUGUCCGGAAUUAUUGGGCGUAAAGGGCUCGUAGGCGGUUCGUCACGUCGGGAGUGAAAACUCGGAGCUUAACUCCGAGCCUGCUUCCGAUACGGGCAGACUAGAGGUAGGCAGGGGAGAGCGGAACUCCUGGUGUAGCGGUGGAAUGCGCAGAUAUCAGGAGGAACACCGGUGGCGAAGGCGGUUCUCUGGGCGAUGUCCUGACGCUGAGGAGCGAAAGUGUGGGAGGCGAACAGG
rnacentral:rRNA from 1 species